CGCCCCGCCCCUGGGGGCUUCAAAGUUUCUCAGAACUUAAGGGUUCGUGAGCUUCCAUCCGAAAACUGCCACACAUCUUGAGCUCGCGGGGUACUACGCCGAACGGGGGUGUGUGAAGGACCUGGAAAGAGGUUGGAGACAGAGGAAGGAAAAGGUUGAGCCACUGCCGUGAUCUCAAAUGUACUCUCCCCUCCCUGGAUAUUCCCACCGCCAAGGAGCUCUCCCACACCUCCCGCCUUGUUACCCCAAGGACCCAGACUCCCUAUCCCAAGACGUGGAAGUCCUACCAAACUUGGGACACGCCUGGAAGGAAACUCUCUUCCUUACAACUGAGAAAAGGUAGUAGCAAACAAUCCUUUAGUCAAAGGAUAAUGGGAGAGGGAGGAGGGGAGGAAGACAUUUUCUUAAAAUGAUAAUAAAAUUAUAAAGAAACAAAAAUCAAAAUUGAUGUAAAAGCAGCUCAACAAAAACAUGAAAUGUCACCAACGUCAAGGCAGCCAACGAUUUACAAGAAGUGGACAGUCUCUCAAGAGGAAACCAGAACCCAAGAGUUGCCCUCAAAUUGCACCCAAACUGCCUGUAGUUUCUUUCAAACAUGCAGAGAUUUUA